GACGAACGCUGGCGGCGUGCUUCAUACAUGCAAGUCGAACGAGAAGCUGACUUCGGUCAGUGGAAAGUGGCGGACGGGUGAGUAAUAUGUAGGAAAUCUGCCUUUAGGAGGGGGACAACAGAGGGAAACUUCUGCUAAUACCCCAUAUGAGCGUAGCUGAAAUGCUAUUCUUGAAAACUCCGGUGCCUAAAGAUGAGCCUGCAUCUGAUUAGCUAGUUGGUAGUGUAAUGGACUACCAAGGCGACGAUCAGUAGCUGGUUUGAGAGGAUGAUCAGCCACAAUGGGACUGAGACACGGCCCAUACUCCUACGGGAGGCAGCAGUAGGGAAUUUUGCGCAAGGGGCGAAAGCCUGACGCAGCAACGCCGCGUGAACGAUUAAGCCCUGCGGGGUGUAAAGUUCUGUCAGUGGGGACGAAACUUGACGGUACCCACAGAGGAAGCACCGGCUAACUCCGUG
rnacentral:rRNA from 1 species